AACGCGAAGAACCUUACCCGGUCUUGACAUGCAGUUGACCGCAUUAGAGAUAAUGCUUUCUCGCAAGAGACAAUUGCACAGGUGCUGCAUGGCUGUCGUCAGCUCGUGCCGUGAGGUGUUGGGUUAAGUCCCGCAACGAGCGCAACCCUUGUCGUUAGUUGCCAGCACGUAAUGGUGGGCACUCUAGCGAGACUGCCUGGGUUAACCAGGAGGAAGGUGAGGAUGACGUCAAGUCCGCAUGGCCUUUAUGACCGGGGCUACACACGUGCUACAAUGGCAGGUACAGAAGGCAGCAAUACCGUGAGGUGGAGCAAAUCCCGAAAGCCUGCCCCAGUUCAGAUUGGAGUCUGCAACUCGACUCCAUGAAGCCGGAAUUGCUAGUAAUGGCGAGUCAGCAACAUCGCCGUGAAUACGUUCCCGGGCCUUGUACACACCGCUACAGU
rnacentral:rRNA from 1 species